ACACUCCUACGGGAGGCAGCAGUGAGGAAUAUUGGACAAUGGGUGGAAGCCUGAUCCAGCCAUCCCGCGUGCAGGAAGACGGCCCUAUGGGUUGUAAACUGCUUUUAUCUGGGGAUAAACCUACUUACGUGUAAGUAGCUGAAGGUACCAGAAGAAUAAGCACCGGCUAACUCCGUGCCAGCAGCCGCGGUAAUACGGAGGGUGCAAGCGUUAUCCGGAUUUAUUGGGUUUAAAGGGUCCGUAGGCGGACUGAUAAGUCAGUGGUGAAAUCCGACAGCUUAACUGUCGAACUGCCAUUGAUACUGUUAGUCUUGAGUAAGGUUGAAGUGGCUGGAAUAAGUAGUGUAGCGGUGAAAUGCAUAGAUAUUACUUAGAACACCAAUUGCGAAGGCAGGUCACUAAGUCUUAACUGACGCUGAUGGACGAAAGCGUGGGGAGCGAACAGGAUUAGAAACCCUGGUAGUCCCAU
rnacentral:rRNA from 1 species